GACGAACGCUGGCGGCGUGCUUAACACAUGCAAGUCGAACGGAAAGGCCCUGCUUUUGUGGGGUGCUCGAGUGGCGAACGGGUGAGUAACACGUGAGUAACCUGCCCUUGACUUUGGGAUAACUUCAGGAAACUGGGGCUAAUACCGGAUAGGAGCUCCUGCUGCAUGGUGGGGGUUGGAAAGUUUCGGCGGUUGGGGAUGGACUCGCGGCUUAUCAGCUUGUUGGUGGGGUAGUGGCUUACCAAGGCUUUGACGGGUAGCCGGCCUGAGAGGGUGACCGGCUACAUUGGGACUGAGAUACGGCCCAGACUCCUAAGGGAGGCAGAAGUGGGGAAUAUUGCACAAUGGGCGGAAGCCUGAUGCAGCAACGCCGCGUGCGGGAUGACGGCCUUCGGGUUGUAAACCGCUUUCGCCUGUGACGAAGCGUGAGUGACGGUAAUGGGUAAAGAAGCACCGGCUAACUACGUG
rnacentral:rRNA from 1 species